UACAGAGGUCCCAAGCGUUACUGAGAAUCACUGGGUUUAAAGGGUGCGUAGGUGGUCCGUUAAGUCAGUUGUGAAAUCCCCGGGCUCAACCCGGGAAAUGCUUCUGAUACUGGCGGACUUGAGGCCAGUAGGGGUCACUAGAACUGACGGUGGAGCGGUGAAAUGCGUAGAUAUCGUCAGGAAUGCCGGUGGUGAAGACGGGUGACUGGGCUGGUUCUGACACUGAGGCACGAAAGCGUGGGGAGCGAGCGGG
rnacentral:rRNA from 1 species